rfam:Triticum urartu cultivar G1812 contig818973, whole genome shotgun sequence.
UUUGUACUCCCUCCCGUUCCGAAUUACUUGUCGCAAAUAUGAAUGUAUCUAGAUGUAUUUUAGUUCCAGAUACAUCCAUUUCUGCGACGAGUAAUUUGAAACGGAGGAAGUAAGUU